UUGUGAUGAGAUUACAGCUGGCACCAGUCUGAGAAGACUUGUACUCUUUAAAUGCGGAUCAGCUUUCAUAAUGGCAAUUUGCCUACAAUCUGAA
rnacentral:snoRNA from 1 species